AUUUAUUUAGUAUAAUUAGUACAUUUGACUUCCAAUCAAAAAGCUUGGUCUUAUCAAAAUAAAUA
rnacentral:tRNA from 1 species